CGGCCCAGGGUAGAACCGGGGCACCGAGGGUGUCUGGGGCAGGCCGGCAGCCGGAGGGGGGCAGUCGCGGCGGGGCGGCGCUGCUGUCUCGGCCUGCAGCGGCGACCGUGUCCCCCUUCCCAUCCCUCCUGCCGGAGGCACUCGUGUUCCCCGCUGCCGCUCCGGGUCACGGACUCCACGGCAACAGCUGCUGCCGCCGCUGCUGCACGGACUCGGCAUCCACCUCCUGCACGGCGCCACCACCGUGGUCUUUGGGCUCUCCCUCCUGAAGCUGCGAUACAGUGAUCAAAGACCACAGUCAAAGCUGGAGUCAUGUCACUGAGGACAGAAGCACAAAAUUCAAGUUAAUAGCAGAACCUUUGGAGAGAGUUGCGCCGUUUUAGCAGGAAAGACCAAAAAGGAAAGAGAGGUUUCUGCGACUGGGAAGCAGGAGAGGAAAGCGGAGUGACAAGACUUCACCUGUACUGUAGCUGAUGGGGGGCUCACAGACCAGAACACACACAGCCUAUUGCACAGAUCGGCUUUCCUGGCAGCCCCGGGCAGCACUUGCAGGGACAGAGGUAUGGGACGCCUAAAAAAAGUUACUGAAAGAGAAUAAAAGACAAGGACAGCUGGAAAAACAUGAAUGAAAAAGGAAAUAAAUAAAACGCGUAAAGAAAAUAAAAAGCAAAAGAGAAGAAUGUGAUUAUAAAUCCCCCCAAAGCAAUAAAAGCCUGAAAGAAUCUCGAAUAAAAGUUCCCUGAGCAACUUUG